UAGGGAAUAUUAGUUAAUGUGCGAAAGCGCGAACUAGCAACGCCGCGUGUGCGAUGAAGGUCUUCGGAUCGUAGAGCACUUUUCGAGAAGAUGAGGAAGGACAGUACUCUCGGAAUAAGUCUCGGCUAACUACGUGCCAGCAGCCGCGGUAAAACGUAGGAGGCAAGCGUUAUCCGGAUUUACUGGGCGUAAAGCGCGUGCAGGCGGUUUGGUAAGUUGGAUGUGAAAGCUCCCGGCUCAACUGGGAGAGGUCGUUCAAAACUACCAGACUUGAGGGCGGUAGAGGGAAGUGGAAUUGCGUGUGUAGUGGUGAAAUGCGUAGAUAUACGGAGGAACACCAGUGGCGAAGGCGGCUUCCUGGACCGA
rnacentral:rRNA from 1 species